rnacentral:lncRNA from 10 species
UCUAGGUAUGAGAGAACAGAAAUAGAGAUUUGGGUGGCUUUAGCUGUUUAAAAUAAGGUGACCAAACCUCCUUUCUGCCUGUUCCUGCUAUUUCAAACACCACUGUUCUCCACACAAUGAAAAUGGCCUUGUUCCUUAAGCCAAAGAUAGCUGAACUUUUGUUUGACAUUUUACACGGUGUCUUAUACCUGCCUGAAAGAAGGGGUGCAGGUCUUCACAGAAUGAGGAAAGGCCAGAGAUUUGGACUCCAAAGACCACAGCUUGGAUUCUAAGCUGUCACUUACCAGCCAAAAGGGAAUCUUGGCCCAGUCACUGAAGCCCCCUGAGUCUCAACUACCUCAUCUGUAAAGGGUCUCAUCAGGCCCACAUUAGAUUAUCUACUCGACCAUCAGUUCAAGCUCUAAGGUAAAGAUGUAGAGCAACUGGAACUUUCAUACACUGCUGCAACCACUUUGGAGACUAUCAGCAUUUUCCACUAAAGCUGAACAUUAUGGUCUAGAAAUUGCACUCCUGAGCAGUGUGGACCUCAGGUCAGAUUCUCACCCUGUUGCUGCUUCCGUCUUUAGCUUCUGAGAGAUGGGGGACGUGGAGCAGUCCUGGGUCUCAUGGUCUGAAGGGAGAAGAAAUCCUGCCCAGGCAGACCACUGUGAAUGUCCAGGCUUGUUUCCACCUGAACAGACUCUCCCUUAGCUAAGAGAACCAGACAAACUCCAUCUUGGCUCUUUCACUGGCAGCCCCUUCCUCAAGGACUUAACUUGUGCAAGCUGACUCCCAGCACAUCCAAGAAUGCAAUUAACUGAUAAGAUACUGUGGCAAGCUAUAUCCACAGUCCCCAAGAAUUCAUCUGUUUGAUAACGCCCAAAGCCCUGCAUCUAUAACCUUGUAAUAGUCUUAAAGCCCCUGCAUCUGGAACUGUUUACUUUCCUGUAACCAUUUAUCCUUUUAACUUUUUGACUACUUAACUUCUGUAAAAUUGUUUUAACUAGACGACCCCCCCUUUCUAAACCAAGGUAUAAAAGUUAAUCAAGCCCCUUCCUCGGGGCCGAGAGAAUUUUGAGCGUUAGCCGUCUCUCGGUCGCCGGCUAAUAAAGGACUCUUAAUUCAUCUCAAAGUGUGGCGUUUUUUU